GACGAACGCUGGCGGCGUGCCUAAUACAUGCAAGUAGAACGCAGUUGCGAACGGGUGAGUAACGCGUAGGUAACUGCCUCAUAGCGGGGGAUAACUAUUGUAACCGAUAGCUAAUACCGCAUACUGUGAGCUGGACCUGCGUUGUAUUAGCUAGUUGGUGAGGUAAAGGCUCACCAAGGCGACGAUACAUAGCCGACCUGAGAGGGGGAUCGGGCACAAGGGGAAUGAGACACGGCCCAGACUCAUUCCGGAGGUAGCAGUAGGGAAAUAUUGGCAAUGGAAGGAAGCCCGACCGGGCAACGCCGCGGCAGUGAAGAAGGGCAUCGGAUCGUUAAACUAUGUUGUUAGAGAAGCGGUAACGAACAAGAAAGGGACGGCUAACUACGUGCCAGCAGCCGCGGUAAUUC
rnacentral:rRNA from 1 species